rnacentral:lncRNA from 1 species
AUAAUAGAAAAUUAUAAUAUCAUUUUAUGUAAUAGAAAAAAGAAUAAAAUAAUCAAUUAACACUAUAAAAUUAUACAGUAAUAUAGAUCAUUCGGUCUUGACCGUUAAGUAUCUUUAGCAAUUUAAACGUCUUGGCGAAAAGCAAUCUCUCUUAUUGCUGCCCGCAGCUCUCUUAAUUCCCCUAAAACCUAAUGGAUCACCCUUGCGACUUCUUUGUAGGUUGUCUUGGCUUCUGCUUUUUGUUCAUCGACUUCAUCGUCUUCUGUCUUUUUUUCUGGCGGCAAAACAUGCCAAAAAUCUCUAUACAACCGUUACUUGUAUCGGAUCUCCUUCUACCUGCGCUGUCUUUGCCGGCAGGGGCGGAGACAGCAUGUUGAUUGACUGGGGGCUUACCCAACGACGAUAAAAAAAUUUAAAGAGUAAUAAAUAUAUAAAUUUGAAAGAUUUAUCAUACUUCAAUAUAUGUUUACAAUUGUCCUUUACGAGUUUUCAUACAUUGAUAACGUUGCAUUACAACUUCAUUAUCAAUAUUAUUAAAUAAGUCUUUUUCUAUGUAAACAACUAAACUAUCAUUCAUCCAUUGCUCUCCCAUUCGGUUUCGUAACCGAUUCUUCAAAAUGUUCAUGGCUGAAAAUGCUCUCUCUACACUCGCAGUGGCAACAGGUAAAGUCAAUGCCAAUGUUAUUAACAAGUAAACUAAUGGAUAUACAUUAUGUCUCUUAGUCUCGACCAUCCGCUUUGCAAGAUCACCAAUAUCCUUUAAUUCUGAAAACUCACCACUAGUGCGCAUAUCCAAAAUAUAUGUAUCAAGUUGAAUCUCAAGUGCCAUGAUAUCAAUUGUAGAGAACUCAUUUGGAUACAACUGGGCUAGCCGUAAUAGCUUCUGCUUGUUGAAAGCUGAAAAUAAAUCAUUUGGAGAUAAACAUGCUAGGCAAAGAAGCAACUCAGUGUUUGUCUCAUUAAAACGAGAAUUAAGCUCUUGAAGUUGCAUAUCUAAGACUGCAUAAUACAAUUCAACACGAUAACGAUGCAAAUUUGUGAUCUCUUGAGCUUUACGUCGUGAUCGCCCUCUAUCCACAAACAUAUCAUCCAUAUUAGGCACGUCAAUAUCAUGCUUCGCACAAAAAAAAGUAACUUCAUCAAUCAAAGAAUUCCAUCCACUUUGUCUCAUUGUUUGAAGUUGUAGUUUACAUAACCUAACCAAGUUCAUAGCAUUCACAAUAUCUUGAUCUUUCCUCUGUAAUGCUUGUGAUAACUCAUCUGUAGCCCCUAAAAUAUUCCUCAUCAAAUGUAAACAGAACACAAAAUUAAAUGACAACAUCAACUCUAGUAAAUUCUUUGCUUCUCCUCUUUGCCCAGAUUUUGGUCCAUCAUUAAUAAUCAUUUCCAAUACACUAAUUACUGCUGAAAACAUGUUAAUAAUGCUCAAUAAUGUAGUAUAAUGUGAACCCCAACGUGUAUCACCACAACGUUUUAGAGUAGUCUCUUGGUUUAGGCCUUGCCCACUCGAGAGAUCUCCAAGAUUAAGUGCUUUAACAACUUCCUCAGCAUGUUUCUCUCUAAGAGCAUCACAACGUUUAGACGAGGCUCCAACAACAUUCACCACAUUGGCAAUUAUAGCAAAAAAAGAUUCAAUUUGAAUAUGAUUUUUUGCAACAACAAUAAGAGCUAACUGAAGUUGAUGAGCAAAACAAUGAAUGUAAUAAGCACACUCAUUCUCUCUCAAAAUUAUGGUUUUAAGGCCAUUAAAUUCUCCUUGCAUAUUACUUGCUCCAUCAUAACCUUGCCCUCGCACCCUAGACAUACUCAACCCAUGUCUAGAAAAAAGUCUAUCAAUAGCUUCCUUAAGUGAUUGAGCAGUAGUACUACCAACUUGUUCAAUGCCUAUAAAACGUUCAACCACUUGUCCACUAAUGUUUACAUAUCGUAAGACAAUAGCCAUUUGCUCUUUUAUUGAUACGUCGCGAGAUUCAUCAACCAAAAUAGAAAAAAAUGCAUCACCCAUCUCUCUUAUAAUGGCAUUAGUGGUCUCAAUUGCACAAGCACUAACAAUGUCUUUUUGAGUGUCAGGACAUGUCACUUUCAAAAAUGAUGGGGCAUUUUCUAAUGUAACAGCUUUUAUAUCCUCAUUAUGAUCAACCAAAAAUUUGAGAAGUUCUAGAAAGUUACCUCGGUUACUUGACUCUUCAGAUUCAUCAUGGCCGCGAAAUGCAAGUCCUUGUCGUAAAAGAAAUCUGACACAAUCAAUCGAUGCUUGUAAGCGAGCUCGAUAUUCACUUCUAGUUUGAUUAGAAUGUCUAGAAUACAUUGUCUGAAUAUGUUGCUCUUGCUUCAUUAAAUCUUGACAAGAACGCCAAGCAUCAUUGUGGACACUAUUAGAGCAACCAACAUGAACUCUCAAUCUUUCUGGUUUUUUCCAAUUUGUAAACCCAUGUUUAGUAAAAGAUUCACCACCGGCUUGUUCUCCAAUUUCUGGCUUGAAAAGAUAACAACAAAGACAAAAUGCAGCAUCCUUUGCAAUGCUAUACUCUAACCAAUUUCCAUAUUUAUCAAACCAACUUGAAUUGAAUCUCCGAGAUUGUUUUCCAAAAUGCCUAAGAGGAAAAUUGUGAGUUUUUGGUUGACAAGGGCCAUUUUGCAAAUAUUGUCUUCGAACUUGAUCUUGAAUAUUUACAUUGUAGUAAGAAAUUGGAUGUCGUAAUCCAGGAUCCAUAGGAAGAUUCAAUAAAUUCACCUCCACAUCAUUUUCUCUCAUAGUUCCAACAUCAUCAUUCUUUUGUUUUUUACCACAAUCAUCAUCUCUCUUUGAACCACUCUUGUCUUUUUGUUUUGAAGCAUCAUCAUUUUUUUCUAAAAAUUGUGGCUCCUUUCUUUUGUAAAACCUUUCCAUACCUAUUUCAAAAUAUAAAUAAAGAUUAUGAAUAUUGAGUAGUUUACUUAGGCUAGUAGCACUUUUAGCAUAUUCCCCUAUUAUAUAAUUAUAUUAAUGCUAUAAAUUAAUUAACAAACAUUACAAGACAUUAAAGCUAAACAAGCAAAUGCUUAAUUGCAAUUGUUAUUUUCUUAAUUAAUAAUAUGUGUUCUUUUUUAUGGAAUCUACACUCAAUCACAUAAUUCACAUUAUAUUUUUCAAAUACAUCAAUAGCCCGAUGAUACACUAACUAAUGGGGAAGAAAAACAACUACAUCAAUUCAACAAAUAAUUAUAUAUGAUUUAUAAACAAUAAAAUAAAAAGCAAAUAAAAUAUUAAUUUGUACCUUAAUUUUAUUGAAUGAAGAAACGAGGGGUUGUUUGAAAUUUGGAGGAGAAAUCACUUUCCACUUUGCUUUUGGAGAUGCCGAAACAAGAAGAAGAUGAUUUACGCAAAUUCCAAUGUCUGUCACUGCUGUUUUGCUUUUGGAGAUGCCGAAACAAGAAGAUGAUUUAGGGAUUUCAGAUUUGCGUAUUGGUGUAGGCAGUGGAAUUGGAGAAAGGUAAAGAAUAAUAAAAUAUUAUUAAUGGGUUUGUGGGUUAUUUAAAAAUUUGAUUAAUAUUAAUAUUUGUGGGCUUAAUUUUAGUUUGUAAAGUCCAUAUCUUUUUAUUUGUUUUAAAAAAUUAAAGUAUGUAAUUAUGUUUAUGUGUUAGGGGUUUAAAUAUAAAUUAGUGGGGGCUUAGGAAAAAAUUUAUUAGAAAUUUUUGAUAAAUUAAAUUAGUUAAUAAAGGAUUUUUUUUUUCCGUGGGGACUUAAGUCCUCACUGGUCCCAAGCUGGAUCCGCCACUGUUUGCCGGGGCUUAUGAUCAGUUUGUGUAGGAGGAGGAAUUGUCUCCUAAUCCUUUAUAGUGACGUUCUUUUUAAUUCUCUGUCUAGCCACCAUCUCCGUUUUUGUGGUUGUUGUUACAUCUAACGGCGCCGGCGAAGCUGUACCCGGAUUAGGGUCUAAGGAGCAUCAGCUGGGAGAUUAUAGCAAUUGACUUAAAAAUCG